CGGCACCUCAAGUGGUCAGGAUGAUUAUUGGGCCUAAAGCAUCCGUAGCCGGCACUGUAAGUUUUCGGUUAAAUCUGUACGCUCAACGUACAGGCUGCCGGGAAUACUGCAGCGCUAGGGAGUGGGAGAGGUAGACGGUACUCGGUAGGAAGGGGUAAAAUCCUUUGAUCUAUUGAUGACCACCUGUGGCGAAGGCGGUCUACCAGAACACGUCCGACGGUGAGGGAUGAAAGCUGGGGGAGCGAACCGGAUUAGAUACCCGCGUAGUCC
rnacentral:rRNA from 1 species